GAGGGUAUAGCUUAGUAGUAGAGUGCAUAUUUAGCAUGCAGGAGAUUCUGGGUUCAACCCCUAGUGCCCCUG
rnacentral:tRNA from 1 species